rnacentral:rRNA from 1 species
AAUUGAAGAGUUUGAUCAUGGCUCAGAUUGAACGCUGGCGGCAGGCCUAACACAUGCAAGUCGAGCGGUAACAGAAAGUAGCUUGCUACUUUGCUGACGAGCGGCGGACGGGUGAGUAAUGCUUGGGAACAUGCCUUGA